rnacentral:rRNA from 1 species
UACGUAGGGGGCGAGCGUUGUCCGGAAUCAUUGGGCGUAAAGCGCGUGUAGGCGGCUUGGCAAGUUGGAUGUGAAAGCCCACGGCUCAACCGUGGAAGUGCACUCGAUACUGCAGAGCUUGAGUAUCGGAGAGGUUGGUGGAAUUCUCGGUGUAGAGGUGAAAUUCGUAGAUAUUCGCAAGAACACCAGUGGCGAAGGCGGCUCACUGGCCCGGUACUGACGCUGAGGUGCGAAAGCGUGGGGAGCAAACAGG